UGGGGAAUAUUGGACAAUGGGCGCAAGCCUGAUCCAGCAAUGCCGCGUGUGUGAAGAAGGCCUGUGGGUUGUAAAGCACUUUCAGGGGGGAGGAAGUUACCGUAAGGUAAUUGACGUUACCCUCAGAAGAAGCACCGGCUAACUCUGUGCCAGCAGCCGCGGUAAUACAGAGGGUGCGAGCGUUAAUCGGAAUGACUGGGCGUAAAGCGCGCGUAGGUGGUUAUACAAGUUGGGUGUGAAAUCCCUGGGCUCAACCUAGGAAUUGCAUUCAAAACUAUAUGACUUGAGUGGAGUAGAGGUAAGUGGAAUUUCCGGAGUAGCGGUGAAAUGCGUAGAUACCGGAAGGAACACCAGUGGCGAAGGCGACUUACUGGGCUCUAACUGACACUGAGGUGCGAAAGCGUGGGGAGCAAACAGG
rnacentral:rRNA from 1 species